CUGACUGCGACACCGACGGGUGGGGCAGGUACGAAAGUAGGGCUUAGUGAUCCGGUGGCUUAAAGUGGGAUUGCCAUCGCUCAACGGAUAAAAGCUACCCUGGGGAUAACAGGCUUAUCACUCCCAAGAGUUCACAUCGACGGAGUGGUUUGGCACCUCGAUGUCGGCUCAUCGCAUCCUGGGGCUGCAGCAGGUCCCAAGGGUUGGGCUGUUCGCCCAUUAAAGCGGUACGCGAGCUGGGUUCAGAACGUCGUGAGACAGUUCGGUCCCUAUCCGGCGCGGGCGGAGGAAGUUUGAGAGGAGCCGUCCCCAGUACGAGAGGACCGGGAUGGACGGGCCGCUGGUGGACCUGUUGGCGCGCCAACGCCAUGGCAGGGUAGCCAAGCCCGGACGGGAUAAACGCUGAAGGCAUCUAAGCGUGAAGCCCCCCUCAAGAUGAGACGUCCCAUCGAAAGAGUAAGACCCCUUGGAGAACACGAGGUGGAUAGGGCAGAGGUGGAAGUGCAGAGAUGGAUGGAGCUGACUGCCACUAAUCGGUCGAGGGCUUGACCAGAA
rnacentral:rRNA from 1 species